GAGAAGGUGCUUGUAACUGAUCAAACGUGUCAGACGUGGUUUGUGAAAUUUCGUGCUGGAGAUUUCUUGCUGGACGAUGCUCCAUGGUAGGGUAGACCAGUUGAUGUUGAUAGUGAUGAAAUCAGGACAUGAAUUGAGAACAACCAAUGUUAUACCACACAGGAGAAACUGACAUACUCAUAAUAUCCAAAUCAAUAAAGUUAUUGGUGAAAAUAAAA